rnacentral:rRNA from 1 species
UACGUAGGGUGCGAGCGUUAAUCGGAAUUACUGGGCGUAAAGCGUGCGCAGGCGGCUUUGCAAGACAGAUGUGAAAUCCCCGGGCUUAACCUGGGAACUGCAUUUGUGACUGCAUGGCUGGAGUGCGGCAGAGGGGGAUGGAAUUCCGCGUGUAGCAGUGAAAUGCGUAGAUAUGCGGAGGAACACCGGUGGCGAAGGCGGGUCUCUGGGCAUUUCCGUGACGCUGAGGCGCGAAAGCGUGGGGAGCAAACGGG